UACGUAGGGUGCAAGCGUUGUCCGGAAUUAUUGGGCGUAAAGAGCUCGUAGGCGGUUUGUCGCGUCUGCCGUGAAAGUCCGGGGCUCAACUCCGGAUCUGCGGUGGGUACGGGCAGACUAGAGUGAUGUAGGGGAGACUGGAAUUCCUGGUGUAGCGGUGAAAUGCGUAGAUAUCGGGAGGAACACCAGUGGCGAAGGCGGCUCUCUGGACAGGUACUGACGCUGAGACGCGAAGGCGUGGGUAGCAAACAGG
rnacentral:rRNA from 1 species